UACGUUCAUCCUCACUAGGACGGAAGUAGGCGAAAACGCUGAAGGAACGCACC
ncrna:unclassified sequences Glutamine riboswitch